CAGAAAUUGCAUUACUAGUUAUUUAUCCAAAAGAUGCAAAAAGACUGAUUCAAAGGGACAUGUGUACCCUGGUGUUUAUAGCAGCAUUAUCAAUAAUUGCCAAAUUGUGGAAAGUGCCCAAAUCUCCAACAACUGAUGAGUGGAUAAAGAAGAUGUGGUAUAUAUAUACAAUGGAGUAUUACUCGGCAAU